UCCGUUAUGGUGUAGUGGCUAACAUUAUCGCCUCUCAUAAAGUCUGGUAUGUUGGACUCCCAGACGCGAUAGCCCAGGGUUCGAUUCCCUGUAACGGAA